rnacentral:rRNA from 1 species
UACGGGGGGGGGCAAGCGUUGUUCGGAAUUACUGGGCGUAAAGGGCGCGUAGGCGGUUCGCUAAGUUGGAUGUGAAAACUCUGGGCUCAACCCAGAGCCUGCAUCCAAAACUGGCGGGCUAGAGUUCUGGAGGGGGUAGCGGAAUUCCUGGUGUAGCGGUGAAAUGCGUAGAUAUCAGGAGGAACACCGGUGGCGAAGGCGGCUACCUGGACAGAAACUGACGCUGAGGCGCGAAAGCUAGGGGGAGCAAACAGG